rnacentral:rRNA from 1 species
GGCGAACGCUGGCGGCGGGCUUAACACAUGCAAGUCGAACGGAAAGGCCCCUUUGGGGGUACUCGAGUGGCGAACGGGUGCGUAACACGUGAGUAACCUGCCCUUGACUUCGGGAUAACUUCAGGAAACUGGGGCUAAUACCGGAUAGGAAUCCUUGCUGCAUGGUGGGGGUUGGAAAGCUUCGGCGGUUUUGGAUGGACUCGCGGCUUAUCAGCUUGUUGGUGGGGUAGUGGCUUACCAAGGCUUUGACGGGUAGCCGGCCUGAGAGGGCGACCGGCCACAUUGGGACUGAGAGACGGCCCAGACUCCUACGGGAGGCAGCAGUGGGGAAUAUUGCACAAUGGGCGGAAGCCUGAUGCAGCAACGCCGCGUGCGGGAUGACGGCCUUCGGGUUGUAAACCGCUUUCAGCAGGGGCGAAGCUUGUGGUGACGGUACCUGCAGAAGAAGCACCGGCUAACUACGUG